rnacentral:rRNA from 1 species
AUUGAACGCUGGCGGCAGGCCUAACACAUGCAAGUCGAGCGAGCGGCGGACGGGUGAGUAAUGUAUGGGGAUCUGCCUGAUGGCGGGGGAUAACUACUGGAAACGGUAGCUAAUACCGCAUACCAUCAGAUGAACCCAUAUGGGAUUAGCUUGUAGGUGAGGUAACGGCUCACCUAGGCGACGAUCCCUAGCUGGUCUGAGAGGAUGAUCAGCCACAGUGGGACUGAGAAACGGCCCAGACUCCUACGGGAGGCAGCAGGGGGGAAUAUUGCACAAUGGGCGCAAGCCUGUUGCAGCCAUGCCGCGUGUAUGAAGAAGGCCUUCGGGUUGUAAAGUACUUUCAGGCGGGAGGCGUUACCCGCAGAAGAAGCACCGGCUAACUCCGUGCCAGCAGCCGCGUAAUAC